GACGAACGCUGGCGGCGUGCUUAACACAUGCAAGUCGAACGGAGUGGCGAACGGGUGAGUAACACGUGGGUGAGCUGCCCUGCACUUCGGGAUAAUCCUGGGUAACUGGGGCUAAUACCGGAUAGUGGGGGAUGGGCCCGGGGCCUAUCGGCUUGGUGGGGGGGUACUGGCCGAGCAAGGCGGCGACGGGUAGCCGGCCUGAGAGGGUGGACGGCCACAGUCGGCCUGAGACACGUCCCAGACUCCUACGGGAUGCAGCAGUGGGGAAUAUUGCACAAUGGGCGGAAGCCUGAUGCAGAAACGCCGCGUGGGGGAUGACGGCCUUCGGGUUGUAAACUCCUUUCACCAUCGACGCGGUAGAUGGAGAAGAAGCACCGGCUAACUACGUGCCAGCAGCCGCGGUAAUUC
rnacentral:rRNA from 1 species